rnacentral:tRNA from 1 species
GGGCAAGUACCGAAGUGGUUACCGGGGUGGCCUCAAGAUCCACUGCAUUUAUGCGCGUCAGUUCGAAUCUGGCCUUGCCCA